ACGCUGGCGGCGUGCCUAAUACAUGCAAGUCGAGCGAACAGACGAGGAGCUUGCUCCUUUGACGUUAGCGGCGGACGGGUGAGUAACACGUGGGUAACCUACCUAUAAGACUGGGAUAACUUCGGGAAACCGGAGCUAAUACCGGAUAAUAUUUCGAACCGCAUGGUUCGAUAGUGAAAGAUGGCUUUGCUAUCACUUAUAGAUGGACCUGCGCCGUAUUAGCUAGUUGGUAAGGUAACGGCUUACCAAGGCAACGAUACGUAGCCGACCUGAGAGGGUGAUCGGCCACACUGGAACUGAGACACGGUCCAGACUCCUACGGGAGGCAGCAGUAGGGAAUCUUCCGCAAUGGGCGAAAGCCUGACGGAGCAACGCCGCGUGAGUGAUGAAGGUCUUCGGAUCGUAAAACUCUGUUAUUAGGGAAGAACAAACGUGUAAGUAACUGUGCACGUCUUGACGGUACCUAAUCAGAAAGCCACGGCUAACUACGUGCCAGCAGCCGCGGUAAUACGUAGGUGGCAAGCGUUAUCCGGAAUUAUUGGGCGUAAAGCGCGCGUAGGCGGUUUUUUAAGUCUGAUGUGAAAGCCCACGGCUCAACCGUGGAGGGUCAUUGGAAACUGGAAAACUUGAGUGCAGAAGAGGAAAGUGGAAUUCCAUGUGUAGCGGUGAAAUGCGCAGAGAUAUGGAGGAACACCAGUGGCGAAGGCGACUUUCUGGUCUCUAACUGACGCUGAUGUGCGAAAGCGUGGGGAUCAAACAGGAUUAGAUACCCUGGUAGUCCACGCCGUAAACGAUGAGUGCUAAGUGUUAGGGGGUUUCCGCCCCUUAGUGCUGCAGCUAACGCAUUAAGCACUCCGCCUGGGGAGUACGACCGCAAGGUUGAAACUCAAAGGAAUUGACGGGGACCCGCACAAGCGGUGGAGCAUGUGGU
rnacentral:rRNA from 1 species